GACGAACGCUGGCGGCGUGCUUAACACAUGCAAGUCGAACGGAAAGGCCUCUUUCGGGGGGUACUCGAGUGGCGAACGGGUGAGUAACACGUGAGUAACCUGCCCUUGACUUUGGGAUAACUUCAGGAGACUGGGGCUAAUACCGGAUAGGAGCUCCUGCUGCAUGGUGGGGGUUGGAAAGUUUCGGCGGUUGGGGAUGGACUCGCGGCUUAUCAGCUUGUUGGUGGGGUAGUGGCUUACCAAGGCUUUGACGGGUAGCCGGCCUGAGAGGGUGACCGGCCACAUUGGGACUGAGAUACGGCCCAGACUCCUACGGGAGGCAGCAGUGGGGAAUAUUGCACAAUGGGCGGAAGCCUGAUGCAGCAACGCCGCGUGCGGGAUGACGGCCUUCGGGUUGUAAACCGCUUUCGCCUGUGACGAAGCGUGAGUGACGGUAAUGGGUAAAGAAGCACCGGCUAACUACGUG
rnacentral:rRNA from 1 species